rnacentral:rRNA from 1 species
UACGUAGGGGGCAAGCGUUGUCCGGAAUUAUUGGGCGUAAAGAGCGCGUAGGCGGUCCGAUAAGUCGGCUGUGAAAGUCAGGGGCUCAACCCUUGAAAGCCGGCCGAUACUGUCGGACUAGAGUCCGGGAGAGGUGAGUGGAAUUCCCAGUGUAGCGGUGAAAUGCGUAGAUAUUGGGAGGAACACCAGUGGCGAAGGCGGCUCACUGGACCGGAACUGACGCUGAGGCGCGAAAGCGUGGGGAGCAAACAGG